AGUGAACGCUGGCGGCGUGCUUAACACAUGCAAGUCGAACGAGAACGGGUUAUAGCUUGCUAUAAUUGUCAGCUAAGUGGCGCACGGGUGAGUAAUGUAUAGGUAAUAUGCCUCUUACUAAGGGAUAACAAUUGGAAACGAUUGCUAAUACCUUAUACUCCUUAUUAACUAAAGUUAGUAAGGGAAAGAUUUAUUGGUAAGAGAUUAGCCUGUAUUGUAUCAGUUAGUUGGUGGGGUAAUGGCCUACCAAGACUAUGACGCAUAACUGGUUUGAGAGGAUGAUCAGUCACACUGGAACUGAGACACGGUCCAGACUCCUACGGGAGGCAGCAGUGGGGAAUAUUGCACAAUGGACGAAAGUCUGAUGCAGCAACGCCGCGUGGAGGAUGACACAUUUCGGUGCGUAAACUCCUUUUAUAUGAGAAGAUAAUGACGGUACUAUAUGAAUAAGCACCGGCUAACUCCGUGCCAGCAGCCGCGGUAA
rnacentral:rRNA from 1 species